AGCGAACGCUGGCGGCAGGCUUAACACAUGCAAGUCGAGCGGGCCUUUCGGGGUCAGCGGCGGACGGGUGAGUAACGCGUGGGAACGUGCCCUCUGGUUCGGAAUAACUCAGGGAAACUUGAGCUAAUACCAGAUACGCCCUUUUGGGGAAAGGCUUGCUGCCGGAGGAUCGGCCCGCGUCUGAUUAGCUAGUUGGUGAGGUAACGGCUCACCAAGGCGACGAUCAGUAGCUGGUCUGAGAGGAUGAUCAGCCACACUGGGACUGAGACACGGCCCAGACUCCUACGGGAGGCAGCAGUGGGGAAUAUUGGACAAUGGGCGCAAGCCUGAUCCAGCCAUGCCGCGUGAGUGAUGAAGGCCUUAGGGUUGUAAAGCUCUUUUAUCCGGGACGAUAAUGACGGUACCGGAGGAAUAAGCCCCGGCUAACUUCGUG
rnacentral:rRNA from 1 species